rnacentral:rRNA from 1 species
GAUGAACGCUGGCGGCGUGCCUAAUACAUGCAAGUCGAGCGAACAGAUGAGGAGCUUGCUCCUCUGACGUUAGCGGCGGACGGGUGAGUAACACGUGGAUAACCUACCUAUAAGACUGGGAUAACUUCGGGAAACCGGAGGUAAUACCGGAUAAUAUAUUGAACCGCAUGGUUCAAUAGUGAAAGACGGUUUUGCUGUCACUUAUAGAUGGAUCCGCGCCGCAUUAGCUAGUUGGUAAGGUAACGGCUUACCAAGGCAACGAUGCGUAGCCGACCUGAGAGGGUGAUCGGCCACACUGGAACUGAGACACGGUCCAGACUCCUAAGGGAGGCAGCAGUAGGGAAUCUUCCGCAAUGCGCGAAAGCCUGACGGAGCACCGCCGCGUGAGUGAUGAAGGUCUUCGGAUCGUAAAACUCUGUUAUUAGGGAAGAACAAAUGUGUAAGUAACUAUGCACGUCUUGACGGUACCUAAUCAGAAAGCCACGGCUAACUACGUG